AUGGUGCAAAAACUUCAUUUGGUCUGGGGACACUUCGAAGAAGAAAAUGAUAACGGUUUCGUGGAGGAAUUAUUGUCAAAGUCUGGAGAGUGGGGGUCUUGGACUGAGAGGGUUAAUCAUGCUCAACGAUGCUUCCAACCUUCUUUCUUGUUAGGAGUUUUCCAAUUCUCACGAUCCAUGGGCUUUGGUUUUACGUGCGAGAGUUCUUAG